CCUACGGGUGGCAGCAGUGGGGAAUAUUGGACAAUGGGGGAAACCCUGAUCCAGCGACGCCGCGUGAGUGAAGCAGUAUUUCGGUACGUAAAGCUCUAUCAGCAGGAAAGAAAAUGAAGGUACCUGACUAAGAUGCCACGGCCAAAUACGUGCCAGCAGCCGCGGGAAUACGUAGGGGGCAAGCGUUAUCCGGAUUUACUGGGUGUAACGGGAGCGUAGACGGCUGCGCAAGUCUGGAGUGAAAUGCCGGGGCUCAACCCCGGAACUGCUCUGGAAACUGUGAAGCUGGAGUGCAGGAGAGGUAAGCGGAAUUCGUGGUGUAGCGGUGAAAUGCGUAGAUAUCAGGAGGAACACCGGCGGCGAAGGCGGCUUACUGGACUGUAACUGACGUUGAGGCUCGAAGGCGUGGGGAGCAAACAGGAUUAGAUACCCGUGUAGUC
rnacentral:rRNA from 1 species